rnacentral:lncRNA from 1 species
UUCCGUGUCAGCUGCCGGAUUUAUCCAUUUGUCUUCAUCAAAACUGAAUGGUCCGCAUGUGGGGUGGCUGUGGAUGGAUGAUGUACAGUUUGCACUUGUGUGUUCUUUUGAGAUUUGUUUCAUUUUGGGAUUGUCCUUAAUGUUGAUGGAUGCAACAACAAAAAAUGUGUUUCAUUUUUGUGUAAUUAUUGUCACUCAUGGAUUUGAUCCUAUUUAUGCGAAUGGAAGGAUUUAAUUCAAUUUCUUUUUCAAGGCUUCAGUGUAAUUUCUCUUGGUUAAUAUGAUGUUACUUAACGAUGCACUCAAGUUCUGGUUCUAUGCUGUAGAUAACAUGAUUUUCACAUGCACAAACAGAAAGAAAGGGAAAAAAAACUUGCCAAAACGAAGAAGAGAAAGAUCUUCAUGUGAACCUUGCGAUGCCAAUGAGAAGAUUUGAGCCAAAUGAGGCAAUAGGGAACUGAUUCGUAAACUUGAUGGUAGCCAGGGUUCACCUUUUCAUUUUUGCUGACCUAUGUCAGAAAUACAAUUUAUGGGACAGCGGAUGCGCGAAUGGUUCGACAACGCAGCUCAAAACUAGUACUGUACAUUUUUACUAUUGUAUUGCCGAUGCAAGGCAAUCACAAAUAAAAUGAUUUAUCAAUUCAAUUAUUCAAGAAGCACAAUCAGUAUACAAUCAUAUCCAAGUCUGGAGCAGCUCAAAUGCUCAACUGGGCUGUCAUUCUUACAAAUGUAACAGUUAAGUUGCUAUUAAGACCAUCAUAUGCAACAUAGCUUACAAAUGAGACCCACAACGCAAAUAGGUCGAUGUUGCUUCAUUUGUUGCUGUUACCAGUCAACGGAUGAGCUUUCUCGCGUGGAGGUACUCCCAGCAAAUUUUUCAUCAUGUCAUAUGUCGUGAAACCAAUAGCAACUGAAGGGACAACCUGAAAUGGAUCGAUUUUUAGAGAAGUUACACAUUUAAGAUACAAUUCAAGAAAAAGUGAGAGUAUACGAUAUCUGCCACUUCUAAUCCUCAAUUACCUUGACAUAAUUAAGGCUCAAGCCAGCGAACAGUUGUCUCCACCCCUGGCACCGAAUGAUAAGAAAGAGACCCUGAAAUGUUCCUCUUAUGCGGAAGGCAUCAUUUGCAUUCUGGGGCUGCUUGUUCUGAACCUGAACAUAUGACAGCAGAGAAGCUAAUCAGAAUUGCAAUCGAACUUACAAUCCAUAGAUUAUCAUGACUACAAUGUGAAUUAUACCUGCAUUUGCCUUCGGACAACAUCCAGUGGAUAAGUGAGGGUUUGUCCAAAAAGACCAGCCAAAGCCCCACAAGAGAGCUUCAAUAUAACAGAUCUCUUGUAAUCUUCGGGAACACGAGAUUUUAGGUCCUCAUAUAUGUAAAAUUUCAGACCCGCGUAUGGAAGAAUACCGAUCAAGGUUGGGCCUGACAGAUAAUAGAAAUUCGAUUGUCAUGCAGUGUAAUGCUAUGGCCCAGAUGAGUUUCACAUAACAUUUAAAUACAUGAUUUUUCACAUGUAGAGUACUAAGUGGUACAUAGUUUCAAAUACCGAUCAGGGUUGGACACAGUAAUGUAUGUAAUUUCAAAUAUAUUUUUCAGAAUAUUCAUGUGUUAGUCCAUCAUAAACUACUCUCAUAUAUUGAGUCCUCGCAAUUGCUUUUAGGGUCACCUAAUACCACUAUGCCAGUGCGUGGCAGUAUUAAUUAGUGAUACCAGAUAUGGAUGAGAUAGAGUUGCAUAUGCAUUCCAAGCAUUAACCUGAACUUUAUUUAUAGCACCCUUGUUACAACAUAAAAGCUUUGCAAGUAUGGAACAUUAGCUGAAGUGAUACCGAUUGAGUAGGCUAUAAGAGACAUGAUUUCGCAAGUUGAUAGCCUUGACAUACCUAUCCCACGGUACAAAGAUCGUACACCUCCUUCCUUGUAAACAGUUUUAAAAACAUCCUUUACACCAUUAUAUACUGGUUGGCGGCCAAAAUUUCCCAAUGAAUUGACAGGUUGGGCUACAUUUGAAACCUAGUGAAGCAAAUUAAUAAGAAUAACCAUGAGCCAAUGUGACGAUCAAGAAAUUAGUCCAAUAUCACUUCCAUUGAAGGAGACUCUUUAUUACAUAUACAAAAAAGAAAAGCAAUGAUCAGCACGGUAGUACAUACCUGGUAUGCCAGCUUGGUCCUAGCCAAGUCUAAAGGGUAGGUACACAGAACUGCAGUUCCGCCAGCAGCUGAGCCAGCGAACAGAUCAACCACAGGUCCUGUACCCACUGAUGGCGCAUUAUUCAGUAUCCAGCACCUAUACUGCUCAUAUGUCAUGUAAUGCAAUGCUGCAUAUGGAACAAUCCGAAGCACACUCGCACCAUUUCCUCUGCAUAAACGAUAAAUAAAAUAUCAAAAUAAGUAUGCUGAACUUACCAGUAAAAACUCAAAUAUCAAGGUGCUGAAUUCAACAGUCAGAGCAUAAGGCGUUUUCUCCACUUUACUUACUUGUAGAAACCUCGAAUUCCCUCGUAUUGCCACAGCUUCCUCAAGGAUUGGACAAUCCCAAGGGAUUGAAACCCUUGGGUUCUUGUCUAGAAAGAAACAGCAGACAUGUUCUCCUAAGUUAAUAAAGGAGCUAAAUACCCAUGCAAUCACCACAAGCAACAGAACUGGAACUGAAUGAUUAAGCAAUCCAUACCUGCAAUAAGAUCUUUACCCUCUCAAGUGGCGCGACGGCAGUCUUUGCGAAUGCACCAGCUGCACCACCAGCAAUAAGCUCCUUGGCAUAGACAGGUAGUAAGCCCAAAGCAUUCACUUGUGCGGCGGUUGAGGCAGAUGAAAAUGUGGAUUCUUGCGAGGAACCCAUGUUUCCAACUGGCUGUGCAGGUGGGAAUAUGUCCUCACCACUAUUAGUAACAUUAACACAAAGGAAAUCAAUUCAGAGCAAAGAAUAUCUUUUAGAGGGCAGCAGAGUGUUGCCAAGAAUAUGUCCCCGAUAGAGGAUAUCCAAAUGGGAAGAACAAAUCAAAGCUUCAGUUUGUCUCCUCAGCACUCACAGUAAGUGAUAACCCAGGAUAAACAAGAAGCUGAGCUGGCACAGUACAAUCUGGGUAACAAUCGCCCGAAAAGACACACACAACUAAGCCAAUCCUUACCCUCCCAAGUUAAAUAAACAACCUAAAGAGGGAUCCGGACACAGCAUUCGCGUGGCCAAUCGGAAGCUGUAGAGUAACUAUUGACAACACUUGUGAUAUACUGCACUAGGCUCCAACAACACAGCUGAGGGGCUUCUAGAGCGAAAAGAGGAUACGGGCAGAUCGGAAAAGGCUCCGGCCCGCCGCUGGUGGCUGCAGGUGGAGUCCCUAGCCCAUGGGACUAUCUCCGGCGGCGGGAGGCGAAAGGCGUUUACGGGGGGCGGGGAGAUCGGAGAGAAGGGAGCUCCCUCGCAUCCAAAUCCAAGUCGCUCCACCAAGAGAGUGGGGGAGGAAUACUCAUCAAUCGCGGAGGAUCUGCGGGGGAAUUGGUGUGGUAGGCAGUGAUUCGUUUCCUGGGAUCGAUUCGGCCGAAACCCGGGGCGGGGGGUGGGGGCGGGGGCGGGGGCUGGAGCAGCUCUUCUCCAGGAAAUUCCAAGGAACGCUCAAGUGAAGAAGGUGCCUUGCGUGGGCAGCGGUGAUGGGCCGGCGAAGCCUCCCUCCCACGUGCGGGAAACAGAGGCUCCACUCUACGUGUUGACACUACACCAACGGCAAGACUAGGCUGUCCGGUCGUCCUUUUUUCUUUUUUCAUUUUUCUUUUGAUGAUGAUGAGGGGUAGGCUGUCCGGUCGGGGCACCCCUAUUUAUCGCCUUACGCGAGCAAACGGGAACGUCUCCCAUGAUGGUUCGGCCCAUCAGCGCGGGAGGCAAAGGCCUGUUUUCUAGGUCUUUUUUUCUGUUUUCUAUUCUCAUUUUUGCUUUAUUUUUGUACUUUUAUUUAUAUUUUAAAAUAUUCUACAUAUAUACUCCCUCCGUCUCAAAUUAAGUGACUCGACUUUGCACUAACUUUAAGACAAUAUUAGUAUAAAGUUGAGUCACUUAUUUUGGGACGGAGGGAGUAUACAAUAAACACUAUUCAAAAAAAUAUUUUAAAAAAUGUCGAACAAGUAUUUAAAAUUUUUAAAUAAGUAUUAAAAAUGUUGAACAAGUAUUUGAAAAAUGUUGAAUAAGUAUUAAAAAAUGUUGAAUAUGUAUUUGAAAAAUGUUGAACAAGUAUUACAAAAAAUUGAAUAAGUAUUAAAAUGUUAAACAAGUAUUUGAAAAAUGUUGAAUAAGUAUUAAUAAUUGUUGAACGAGUAUUUGAAAAAUAUUGAACAAGUAUCUGAAAUAUGUUGAAUAAGUAUUUAAAAUAUUGAACAGGUAUUUGAAAAUGUUGAAUAAGUAUUAACAACAUGUUAAAUGAGUAUUCGAAAAAUGUUGAACAUGUAUUUGAAAAAUGUUGAGCAAGUGUUUAAAAUGUUGAAUAAGCGUUCAGACAAUGUUGAACAUGUAUACAAAAAAAUGUUGAUCACCUAUAAAAAAUGUUUUUGACAUAUACGAAAAUGUGCAGUGAAAAUGAAAACAAACAUAUAAAAAUGAAAAACCAAAAAAGGAGAAGUAAAAAGAAACCCAAAGAAAAAAUGGAAAAGAAAAAAAAGAAAAAUACUAAAGAAAGACAACAAAGAAGGGGGAAAACAAUGAACAAAGAAAAAAAAUAGAGAAAACCAAAAAAACUGGAAAUAAAACGGAGAAUAAACAGUGAAGAGUGUGGCUUGUUUUGUGUCAAGAACAGUCACCCUACUCAUAUAUCACAGACACUAACCUAGCACAAUGGCAAGCCACACUUACUGUUAAAUCGGGGGAGUAGGGUUCAAUUCCCAUAAGCACCUCCAUUUCUCUUCUCCUUUUUUUUCAUUAGUUGCACGUGAAUGUACGACCCAAUUAGUAGACACCUACAGUGAUACGUCCCCGUGUGCUCGCGUAAGGAGACUAGAAGAACGCCCGUGCGUUGCAACGGGGCCACAUUAGGGUUAAGAGUUCAAUAUUAAUCAUGUUAAUAAUACAUUUAAUAUUCUCAUACAUAUCAAGUGACACUGGCAACCUUUUUUGUCAAUUUAGCAACGGGCUCAGUUGCAACGGGCUCUUUAUACAUAUCAGACAACUCGCUACUACUUAAACUACAACUAUGGCUACCAAUAUUUUUUUUGUCAAUUUAGCUCAGCAAUAGUGCCUGGCUUAAUAGACUGCUUUGCAUUCACCCCCUCAGAAGACAGAGAGCAAGUUAGCAAGCACGCACGCGUCCAACCCCGCCGCUGCAUGCGCUGGCAGAAGGUGAGGCAGCAAGGAGACUGCAUAUUGAAGCUGUCCAUGCAAGGCUGGAGGUGCUGGGCCGGCGACGGCGGUGUCGGGAUGGCGCUUGAUUCGUUCCCGGUGGCGUGGAGCUUGGGGUGGCAACGCGGCGAUAGCUAGUGCUCGGGGAUGGGGGUUUGGGGCGGGGGCAGUCGACCCGAUGGCUGGCGAAGUUAACGGGCUCGGGCGGCUGGAAAUUCGGCGGGUGGCGGCGGCACAGCGCGAGGAUGGGACAGGCGGAAAACCUAGCGGGCGUUCAACUACCAAUACCCACGCCUUUUUUUAGGGGAAUUGCUUGUGAAAAUAACGUGCGACAACGACUUAGCGAGCAGAUUCCCUUAAAACUGAUAGGAAUGGAUACGAUUGAUGACGUUGAUAAAUAGUGGUGAAUGUUGGCCUAAUUUACUAUCAUCAUGCAUGGAAAUGAAUCAUCAAGAAAAAGAAUACUUCCUAUUAAUACACUCAUAGGAAGCUUCCUAAUCGUGUAUACCAAACAGUUUCUGCCCAAACAGGGAAGGAAAGUUAUGGACGUGAUUCAGAAGGAAACAAACGUUAUGAAGAUUAAUUAAUUUAGAUUUGAUCUUUAGAGAUUGAUUGUGAUUGAUUCUUUUACAUAAAGACAUUACUAAAUAAUUUGCGUCAGUAUGGAAAGUUCUGAUCCGUUCAGUUUUUUUCGUUGUGUGAGAGGGUGAAGUGAAAAUAAACCGAUGAAAUGGGGGAGGCGACGAAAAAAAUCUACGAUGGUUAACCUACGAAAAAAACCGGACGAAAGUGGUGGGACGAAAAAAAAA